CCCUUAGAUGUUCUGGGCUGCACGCGUGCUACAAUGGCGCUUGCAACAAGUCUUGCCAACCCGAUAGGGUGAGCGGAUCUUUGAAGAGGCGUCGUGAUCGGGACAGUUGAUCGCAAUUAUUCGACUCGAACGAGGAAUUCCUUGUAAUCGCGAUUCAUCAUAUCGCGCUGAAUACGUCCCUGCCCUUUGUACACACCGCCCGUCGCUCCUACCGAUUGAGCGAUCCGGUGAAUGUUUUGGACUGGCGUCAGAAGCGGUUCGCUCCUGACACUACGAAAUUUUGUAAACCUUAUCGCUUAGAGGAAGGAAAAGUCGUAACA
rnacentral:rRNA from 1 species